rnacentral:ribozyme from 11 species
AGGAAAAAAAAGAGAAAGAAAAAACGGACAUACAGCAAAACAGGUCUCGAUCCGAGAGUCGAGGGUCCUUGCAAAAAACUUAUGCAUUUUCCCUAGCAUUUUCCGGUUUCUUCUUACUCU